rnacentral:rRNA from 1 species
UAGGGGUUCUGAGAGGAAGGUCCCCCACAUUGGAACUGAGACACGGUCCAAACUCCUACGGGAGGCAGCAGUGAGGAAUAUUGGUCAACGGGCGCUAGCCUGAACCAGCCAAGUAGCGUGAAGGAUGGCUGCCCUAUGGGUUGUAAACUUCUUUUAUAUGGGAAUAAAGUGCAGUAUGUAUACUGCUUUGCAUGUACCUUAUGAAUAAGGAUCGGCUAACUCCGUGCCAGCAGCCGCGGUAAUACGGAGGAUCCGAGCGUUAUCCGGAUUUAUUGGGUUUAAAGGGAGCGUAGGCGGGUUGUUAAGUCAGUUGUGAAAGUUUGCGGCUCAACCGUAAAAUUGCAGUUGAUACUGGCAUCCUUGAGUACAGUAGAGGUAGGCGGAAUUCGUGGUGUAGCGGUGAAAUGCUUAGAUAUCACGAAGAACUCCGAUUGCGAAGGCAGCCUGCUGGACUGUAACUGACGCUGAUGCUCGAAAGUGUGGGUAUCAAACAGGAUUAGAUACCCUGGUAGUCCACACAGUAAACGAUGAAUACUCGCUGUUUGCGAUAUACAGUAA